rnacentral:tRNA from 2 species
GGGGAUAUAGCUCAGUUGGUAGAGCACCUGCUUUGCAAGCAGGGGGUCAGGAGUUCGAGCCUCCUUAUCUCCACCA